rnacentral:tRNA from 1 species
GGAGCUGUGGCGCAAUGGAUAGCGCAACAGACUUCGGAUCUGAGGGUUGCAGGUUCGAGUCCUGUCAGCUUCG